rnacentral:rRNA from 1 species
GAGUUUGAUCAUGGCUCAGAUUGAACGCUGGCGGCAGGCCUAACACAUGCAAGUCGAACGGUAACAGGAAGCAGCUUGCUGCUUUGCUGACGAGUGGCGGACGGGUGAGUAAUGUCUGGGAAACUGCCUGAUGGAGGGGGAUAACUACUGGAAACGGUAGCUAAUACCGCAUAACGUCGCAAGACCAAAGAGGGGGACCUUCGGGCCUCUUGCCAUCGGAUGUGCCCAGAUGGGAUUAGCUUGUUGGUGGGGUAACGGCUCACCAAGGCGACGAUCCCUAGCUGGUCUGAGAGGAUGACCAGCCACACUGGAACUGAGACACGGUCCAGACUCCUACGGGAGGCAGCAGUGGGGAAUAUUGCACAAUGGGCGCAAGCCUGAUGCAGCCAUGCCGCGUGUAUGAAGAAGGCCUUCGGGUUGUAAAGUACUUUCAGCGGGGAGGAAGGGAGUAAAGUUAAUACCUUUACUCAUUGACGUUACCCGCAGAAGAAGCACCGGCUAACUCCGUGCCAGCAGCCGCGGUAAUACGGAGGGUGCAAGCGUUAAUCGGAAUUACUGGGCGUAAAGCGCACGCAGGCGGUUUGUUAAGUCAGAUGUGAAAUCCCCGGGCUCAACCUGGGAACUGCAUCUGAUACUGGCAAGCUUGAGUCUCGUAGAGGGGGGUAGAAUUCCAGGUGUAGCGGUGAAAUGCGUAGAGAUCUGGAGGAAUACCGGUGGCGAAGGCGGCCCCCUGGACGAAGACUGACGCUCAGGUGCGAAAGCGUGGGGAGCAAACAGGAUUAGAUACCCUGGUAGUCCACGCCGUAAACGAUGUCGACUUGGAGGUUGUGCCCUUGAGGCGUGGCUUCCGGAGCUAACGCGUUAAGUCGACCGCCUGGGGAGUACGGCCGCAAGGUUAAAACUCAAAUGAAUUGACGGGGGCCCGCACAAGCGGUGGAGCAUGUGGUUUAAUUCGAUGCAACGCGAAGAACCUUACCUGGUCUUGACAUCCACGGAAGUUUUCAGAGAUGAGAAUGUGCCUUCGGGAACCGUGAGACAGGUGCUGCAUGGCUGUCGUCAGCUCGUGUUGUGAAAUGUUGGGUUAAGUCCCGCAACGAGCGCAACCCUUAUCCUUUGUUGCCAGCGGUCCGGCCGGGAACUCAAAGGAGACUGCCAGUGAUAAACUGGAGGAAGGUGGGGAUGACGUCAAGUCAUCAUGGCCCUUACGACCAGGGCUACACACGUGCUACAAUGGCGCAUACAAAGAGAAGCGACCUCGCGAGAGCAAGCGGACCUCAUAAAGUGCGUCGUAGUCCGGAUUGGAGUCUGCAACUCGACUCCAUGAAGUCGGAAUCGCUAGUAAUCGUGGAUCAGAAUGCCACGGUGAAUACGUUCCCGGGCCUUGUACACACCGCCCGUCACACCAUGGGAGUGGGUUGCAAAAGAAGUAGGUAGCUUAACCUUCGGGAGGGCGCUUACCACUUUGUGAUUCAUGACUGGGGUGAAGUCGUAACAAGGUAACCGUAGGGGAACCUGCGGUUGGAUCACC